rnacentral:tRNA from 1 species
GGGACUGUAGCUCAGCCUGGGAGAGCACUAGACUGAAGAUCUAGGUGUCGGGUGUUCAAAUCCCCCCAGUCCCA